AGGAUUGAUUCUGAAGUUCUGGUAGAUAAUUCCUGUUCUACAACUCAUCAACAUGAAACUGGAAAAAAAUGCAGCAAUCAUCAUCAUCAUCACAAUCACGUACACAAUGCUGCUGUCACUAGUGUUACUAUUGUUUCCGAAGGAACUCUCGAUAUUGAUGAGGUGACUGGACAAUAACACUUUGAGUGAAGCAAUUCCUGCAUCUUUGGCUAACAUGACACAGCUUGCCUUCCUGUAAUUCUUUUCAACUUUUAGCAUUUUAAUACUACUUGUUAUCAAGGCUCCAUCACAAGUUGAAUAGUUUAUAAAAAGGUUUUAUGGGAUUUUUUUUAAUGGUCUAGGGACCUGUCAUACAACACUCUAAGUGGUCCAGUACCAAGG